GACAGAGGUGCCGAGCGUUAGGCGGAAUCACUGGGCUUAAAGCGUGUGUAGGCGGGUCGUUAAGUGCCUUGUGAAAUCCCACGGCUCAACCGUGGAACUGCUGGGCAUACUGCCGAUCUUGAGCCAGCUAGGGGCAACCGGAACAAACGGUGGAGCGGUGAAAUGCGUAGAUAUCGUUUGGAACGCCAAUGGUGAAAACAGGUUGCUGGGAGUGCGCUGACGCUGAGACACGAAAGCCAGGGGAGCGAACGGG
rnacentral:rRNA from 1 species